GACGAACGCUGGCGGCGUGCUUAACACAUGCAAGUCGAACGGAAAGGCCCUGCUUUUGUGGGGUGCUCGAGUGGCGAACGGGUGAGUAACACGUGAGUAACCUGCCCUUGACUUUGGGAUAACUUCAGGAAACUGGGGCUAAUACCGGAUAGGAGCUCCUGCUGCAUGGUGGGGGUUGGAAAGUUUCGGCGGUUGGGGAUGGACUCGCGGCUUAUCAGCUUGUUGGUGGGGUAGUGGCUUACCAAGGCUUUGACGGGUAGCCGGCCUGAGAGGGUGACCGGCCAGAUUGGUAGUGAGUGAGGGCCCGGACAGCUACGGGAGGCAGGAGGGGGGAAUGAUGCACGAUGGACGGACGGCUGAUGCAGCAACGCCGGGUGCGUGAGGACGGACGGCGGGUUGGAAGCCACUUUCGCCUGUGUGGAAGGGUGAGUGAGGGUAAGUGAUAAAGAAACACCGACUAACUACGUG
rnacentral:rRNA from 1 species